GCAUGGGUUUGGGUUGAUGGCAGGCCCGUCCCCCUGGGUCUCUCAUAGGUCCCAGGCCAGAGCAAGCUGUGGUCUCGAACCAUUGCCUGGCCUCUGCCCGUAGGCUGCAGGCACUGAAACAGGUUGCACAGUG
ensembl:snoRNA small nucleolar RNA SNORA42/SNORA80 family